CACUAUACCAUACAAGAAGAAGAAGAAGAUGAUGAUGAUGAUGAUGAUGAUAAUAACGACGACGGGAUUGGGCCAUGUUACAGAGUGCGAAUAGACUGCAUGACAGAGAUCGACUGACAUGAGAUUCUCAUAUCUGCCAUAUUUAAUUUCCAGAGCCUGCUGACAGUGAUCCUAUUGCUCAUCUGUACCUGUGCCUAUCUCCGAGCCAUGGCACCCAGUCUCCUGGACAAGAACAAGACCGGGCUAAAGAAAGGAAAGUGAUGGGAAGACGGAGGAAAAUAGGAAGAGUGCUGCCUGAACCAAUGUGAAUCUGUCUCCAGUAGCAGUUCUGGUGGCUAAAGCUUUUCUACACAGACAGAGAUGAGUGAUGGAGAGCGGAUAGUGUGUUCUGUUGUGGGUUUAAAACUCCAGCGCAGACCGACUCCCAGAGGAGUGCUUACGCGCAGUCUACACUCUGACCUCUAACCCCUGACCUUUGUCACAGAGCUGAUGUUGGGCUCAGUCCCAAGUCUUGGUUUCUUGUCUGGUCUUCCUCAUACAUACAUGGGCCUGGAUUUUAUUUUCCCACUGCACUUCUCUCACAUCUGUCUUUAUUUCUGAGGUCAAGAAUAAAAUUAGACAUGCGGGGGGGGGGGGGGGGGGGCUCUUCCCCUCUCCCUCCUCUAUGGCUGCUACUGAGGGGAAGGAAAUUAAUUCAACUGUCUGAUCCCCCUAAUCAUCCCCAUCAAGAUAUGGACACAUCAUUUCCAUCUGCCAGUUCAGUUCAGUUGAGGGCUAGUGGGCUAAUUAGUAGCCUCUAGCAUCACCUUACUGUACCUCAGUCACCCACUGUCAGUCCACAUGUGUGUUUACUAAACUCACGACCCCCUGAUGUCAGUUCACUGACUGUCCUCUUCCUUACAGUCUAUAUGGACUGUCUGUAUCUCUCUCUCGAUCUACUCUUUACCUAGCUAAUUAAAAUUGCUUCUUUCUUUUUUCAGCCUCUUGGGUAUCUUCUGGAAAUGUGCUAGAAUAGGUGAGAGGAAGAGUCCGUACGUGGCGGUUUGUUGUGUCGUCAUGGCCCUCUCCAUCCUCUUCUCCGACUAGCAACCCACCCUGCCCCGCACACUGGGAUUCCUAGUGGCAGAAUAAAGAAAACUGGGUCAUUCAGGAAAGCAGCAGCAGUAUAUCCACUCACAGAGGAGGCCUGUAUGGGACACAGCUGUGUUUCUCUUCGGUGGAGUGCCGCAGGGGGCACGGUUAAUGGACUGUAGUAACACAUAGGGACCCACUCUAGAGAAGAUCACAAGCCUCCUCCAUCACUCCCUCCAUCCUUCUGGUGGCCAUUUCACAGUUUAGCCUCAAUCAGUUGUUAACCAACGGCCUCCUGGAUCUCUCUGUAAACACUGACAGUUGUUGUCCUCUGAUAUUAACCGUAGGGAUUGCCCCAUGUUUUUCACUGCACUCUGAUUUGUAAUGAGGUCCAUAUGGUAGAAGGACGGAUUUUGGGGAGGAGUGUUUUGUGGAGUUGACUGUUUUUCUGUACAUAAGACUCCAUUGAUUAGACUAUUGGACAGGUGUGCCUUUCUGUAACCCAGGAUUCAGUUUUUUCAUUGAUCACUGGGGGUAUGUCACGAAGUGGCUAAAUUUCAGAAACAUUAACCCCGUAUUCAACUUAAAUUCUCAUUCAGAAAAGAAGUAUUUGAUUAGUGUUAACUAGCUAACUGAUUGAUCCUGUUUGGUGAAACGCGACCCUGUGGUAGUGUUCCAUGUCUUUUUUUUAUUCCAUGUUGUCUUUUUUGUUGUUGCAGUCGUGAGAUCUGAUGGUCUGUGCAGCGCGACAGGCCGUGAGGCCGAUACGUAAGCUUAUUAAAGAUCAGUGAUACUAUCAAGAGCAGUGUGCGGUUUCCUUUUUCCCUCAUCUUGUCUAAUUGUUACCAUACACCUGCAAAAAAAGUGCUCAGAUGUGCGAGUGCCUUUUGAGUUACUGUGUAGCGUGUCUGAAAUCAAUAGGACCUGGAACAUGCCCAUUAUAACAGCACUACAGCCAAACUGUCAUUAAAUCUGAAAUAAAGACAAUUGUUGUCGUCGUCUCCUGA